rfam:Stegodyphus mimosarum contig79801, whole genome shotgun sequence.
GCCUUCGUGGUGUAGUGGUCAGCACGCUCGUCGCGUAACGGAGAGGUCCGUAGUUCGAAUCCCUGCGAAGGUG